rnacentral:lncRNA from 1 species
CUCUAAGAUAAGCAGAGGCCGAGUAGUGGUAGAGCAGGCAUUCGGUAGACUAAAGUGCAAAUGGAGGAGAGUUAGGGUGCGUCCCAUUUCUACCCCUUACCCCUCCCCCUUACCCCUCCCCCUUGGUUUGAAGGGGUAAGGGUGUCCCAAUUCUCAUUUUGGUUAAGGGGUAGGGCGAAGACAAAAGGCUACGUAGCCCUUGAAACGAAGCCAAAACGUAGCUUGAAACGAAGCUAUCCAAGGACCACACUUCAAAGGGAGGGCUUCGAGGAAAAUCCGGCCGAAAAUGCAUUUUUACUAGUUGUUAUCAUUCGGACUCAUGAUGUAAAGUUGACUGUGUAUUCAGCUCGAAGUCAUACACGGACAAUGCGAUCUCUGAGCUCGAUAUAAAACAUGGCAUAACGGUAAAUAACCGUUGAACUAUACAUACAAGAUUUUGGCGCGCUCUAGUGGCCAAGCGAAAUCACCAUCAUCAUCAACAGCAGCGAUGGCUCAAACAAAGGAAAUGCACAAAUGUAAGUAUUUUCAGCACUUAAAUUACGGCAGACAGGUGUAAUAAAACUAUUUUCGUGCGGUUUUUAAUUGUGAAGUUAGUUUUGAAUCACUAGUCAAGUUUGUUUUGAUUCACUAGUCAAGUUUGUUUUGAAUCACUAGAAGCCGAUGCUAAUGUGUUCCGUUAUCGCUAUUUGUUGAGAUAGAUAUCCGAUAACCCUUGACAUGACAUGUUAAGGUUUCAAGUCAAAUUUGUGUGCAGUGGAUUUGCUUACUACUACUAUUCCUUGGUUGAUUAUACCGGCGCACUGCUUUGAUAUCGGUAAAGCUGCCAGCUAGGCUACGUCGCUCGCCUGUCAAACUGAAGAUUUCCUUUCCACUUUUACCUCAGGGACACCACAGGAGACCAGACGCCUCAUUAAUUUCAGGUCGACCAGGGACAAUGAGUUUCUCAAGUCAAAAAUGAUCGCCCGAAAACAGUGGGAGCUUUUUCUGGAAGAAAUGGGGAUGGAGGGAAAAGUUACAAGGCAACAGGCUUCUAAGAAGUGGGAAAACCUCAAAAAGAAGUACAAGGAUUUGAGGACUUCCAAAACUGGGUCGGGGACGGAAAGUGGGGAGGUGACUGUGGCGACGUGGCAGUAUUACGAUUUGAUGCAUGAGGUUCUUGGUGCCCGGCCAGCAAUCGACCCACCAGUCCUUGUGUCCUCGAUUCAAGAAGACCCCAUGGUUAUCCUCAUGGAGAUGGUGGAGCCCUACAACCAAGCACCCCCGACAGCAGCCAGCACCCCAGUACACCCGCCGACCACAUCAAUCAUGCGAAGGAGGUCCAAAACAGUUGCAGAACUCCUGGCUGAGGAGGCACUUCAGGAGCAGAGGCGCCAUGAAGAGAGUGAGGCCAAGACAGAUCGCUUUCUUGAUCUCUUUGAGAGGAUGGUCAACAAAUUAUAAUUAUUGAUUUUUGUUGUUCCUAUGUUUUUUGUAUGCUAUUUAUUAUUCCUAUUUAUUAUUGUUGUAUAUAUUUCUAUUUAUUAUUUUA